rnacentral:rRNA from 1 species
AUUCCAGCUCCAAUAGCGUAUAUUAAAGUUGUUGCAGUUAAAAAGCUCGUAGUUGGAUUUCUGGUGCAUUCCACUGGCCUAUUGGUUAACUCCAACUUGGCUCAUUGGAAUACGCCAUCUUUAGGCAGACCCGUCGUGGCAUUAGGUUGUCGUGAUGGUUACGCCUAUCGUUUACUGUGAAGAAAUUAGGGUGUUCAAAGCAGGCUUAUGCCAUGAAUACGUUAGCAUGGAAUAAUGAGAUAGGAUUUCGGUACUAUUUUGUUGGUUUGUGUACGGAAAUAAUGAUUAACAGGAACAGUGUUGUGGGUAUUCGUAUUUCGUUGUCAGAGGUGAAAUUCUUGGAUUUACGAAAGACGAACGACUGCGAAAGCAUUUACCAAGGAUGUUUUCAUUG